GAAACACGGACCAAGGAGUCUAACAUGUGUGCGAGUCUUAGGGUGAUUGAAACCCGCAGGCACAAUGAAAGUAAAGGCUCUUCGGAGCUGAGGUGAGAUCUCUUCGGUUUCGGCCGGAGAGCGCAUCAUCGACCGACCUCUUCUAAUCCUAGAAAGGUUUGAGUAAGAGCACAUCUGUUGGGACCCGAAAGAUGGUGAACUAUGCUUGAGUAGGGCGAAGCCAGAGGAAACUCUGGUGGAGGCUCGUAGCGAUUCUGACGUGCAAAUCGAUCGUCAAACUGAGUAUA
rnacentral:rRNA from 1 species